UUUUACCCUACGAACUUUCCAUUACACGAUAUCUCACCAGAAGAUCACUUUCUUUCUUCUUCUUCUUCUCCUUUUCCUUUCUCUCUCCACCCAUCAAUUCAUGCUCGAAACACAACUCAGAUUCAACCCAACUUUUUAUUUUACCAUUCUGCCACUCCCUCUCUUUAUUGCCUCACCCUGUUUCCUUCCUUCUUCCCCAAUCCAUUACCACAUAUACAUAUAUAUACACACUCAAAGCAUGCUAAUACUAUAACUUAUUCUCCACAACAAGAUUUCC
rnacentral:misc_RNA from 1 species